UGACUGGCGUUUGGAACCAACCCGCUACUUAAAAUGGAAGAUUCGAGGGUUCCAAAAUAACUGUUUUGAAAAAUGUUUAUCAUCAGAAACACUCUCAACGGAAGAACUCAAUGAUGCAGAAACAAAAUUAAUUAUUAAUGCUCAAAAGAGAACAUACACGAAAGAGUACAAUCAAUUGAUAAAUAAUAAAGGAAUUUCAAAAACUAGUUGUUUAUUAAAAUUAUUGCCACGAAUAGAUGAAAAUAAAAUGUUUAGAUGCGACAGUCAAUUAAAAAAUGCUGAGUUUCUUUCAUUCAAUACACAAUACCCAAUUAUUUUACCAAGGCAUAACCACAUAACCAAGUUGAUCGUAAAAGAUUGUCACGAAGCAGGACAGCAUAUAUGGGGUGUAAAUCAUAUCUUGCCGGAGUUGUCUACAAAGUAUUGGGUAGUAUCUGGAAUUGAAGAGAUAAAAAAUGGGAAGCGGAGUGUGCAGAAUGCAAGCGAAGAAAAUAAAAUCAGCAACGCAGAUAAUGGCACCAUUAUCAACAAAACGUUUGCAGUUUAGUAUGAAGGCCUUUGAAAGGUGUGCUGUUGAUUAUGGUGGUCCGUUUAUAACCAUUCAAAGAAGAGGGAAAAGACGGGCAAAACGUUAUUUAGCCUUGCUUACUUGCUUGUCUUCACGAGCAGUUUACCGUGAAGUAGCGUUUGCGUUGGACGCCAACUCAAUUCUAAAUGCGUUUUUUAGGAUGAGCAGUCAAAAAGAAAUGCUAAAUGAAAUGAUAUUUGACAAUGAAGGUAACUUUGUGUUAGCAAACAAAUAACUACGAAGUUUCACUGAUGGCGAAAAGAAAAGAAUAAACGAGGCAACAAGCCGUGUUGGUAUUAAAUGGCAUUUUAACCCACCAGCAGCCCCUCAUUUUGGAGGAGUUCAUGAAAUUAUGAUAAAAGCCGCAAAACGAGCAAUUUAUUUCCAACUGGGAAAUGCGGAUAUUACUGACAAAGAACUUAUUAUAGCGUUUGCCGGGGCAGAAGGACUUAUAAACUUACAACCAUUAACUUAUCAAUUGAGUGGUCCUGAAGACUGCACUUCCCUUACACCAUUUAAUUAUAAACUAUAUAAAGGAUAUAAAAAUAACAGUAACCUUAAUACCAUUACAAAUAAAUAUUUUUUUAUCAAACCAAAUUUUCUUUAAAAUCAGAUCAUGCCUAGAGUUUCAAAAGGAAAAAGGAAAACUUCACAUGCAUCAGAAAACAUUUUGUAAAUUGCUGUAGCAGAAGUAAAAAAUGAGAUAAGCUUCAGAGAAGCAACAUACUCAGCUAGCAUUUCUAAGUCUUCACUUCAUAGAUAUUGCUAGACGUGGACGUAAAAAGAAAAAGUGUAUGAUAGCCACAUCAACACCAGAAAAUUUAAAAGUAAGAGAUGAAGUAUUAUACAAAAAAAAAAAGGUAAAAAAACUUUCAAAAUCAAAGAUAGUGAAGAAAAAUGUAUUACGCAAAUCAAGCAGUAACCUUAAUUUUGAUGUCAACAAAAUAACAAAUGGUGUUUCUGCUAACUACUGCUCGCUAGAGUUUGAAGAAGAAUUGGAAACCAUUUCAUUUGGCGUUAUUAAAAAUGUGAGUAUCAAUGAUUUUGUUCUUUGUGAGGUUUGUAGUAAAAACACUACUUCUUAUUAUGUAGAAAGAAAAAGAAAAAGAUUUUGAUGUAGAUGUCAGCUUCCUAAAAUGCCAAAAUAUAGAAACUUGUAAAUUUGUCAAACCUAGAAUUAAUGACAUUUGCAGUAAGAAUAUUAGUGAUGAAAAAGCAGUCCUGCCUCAACCAUUUACUGGAAAAACAUCAAGAACAAAAGCUGAAAUUAUUUUCCAAGUGAAGUUUGACGUAUUAAAUGUGUAAUAACUUUUUUCUUUUUUUAACAAAGAAAUUCACCCA